GGAAAUAAAAGUCGUAACAAGGUUUCCGUAGGUGAACCUGCGGAAGGAUCAUUACAAAUCUUUGCGAGUGCUGCGUGCGCAAGUGUGCGUAGCAUUCACAUUAGCACAAGGUCUUGCGAUCUUGAUGUUUACGCUUGUUUGUUUGACAGAGUUAGUUGAGAAUAAAAAAGACAACUUUUAACAAUGGAUCUCUUGGCUCUU
rnacentral:misc_RNA from 1 species